CUCCACUUAAUAAGGAAAGAAAAAAAAAUUGUAGGGUGAGGUUGCUAAGGUCUAUGAUAAGAACAAAUGUAUGUGUGAAAUUGUGAAGAAGGAAAAAAGUAUAUGCAUAGUAUGUAUAGGGUUUGGUUUAGGCAUCCACUGGGGGUCUUGACAGGUAUCCCCCGCUAUCGAUGGGGGGAUUUUCAUUUUGUGAGUUUUAGCUGCAUCCUGUUCCUAUUUCCUUUGGUGGUACUUUGCACAUUGACAUUUUUUAUUGAGAUUUUACCAUACAACCUAAUUUCCAUUUCUCUAUCUCAUGUUGCCAUUAGAGUAAUUAGUCAAAGGCUGGGCUUGGUGGCUUACACCUGUAAUCCCAACACAUUGAGAGGCUGAGGCCGAGGAGGGAGGAUUGCUUGAGGCCAGGAGUUUGAGACCAACGUGAGCAACAUAAUGAGACCCUUGUCUACUAAAAGUAAAAAUAAAUUAGCUAGGCAUGCAUAAUGGCAAGUGCCUGUAAUCCCAGCUACUUGGGAGGCUGAGGUGGGAGGAUCGAUUGAGUCCAGGAGGUUGAGGUGGCAGUAAGCUAUGAUAGCAUCCGUGCACUCCAGCCUGGGUGACAGAGCAAAGCCUUGUCUCUAAAAAAAUUGUUUUAAUUAAAGAGUUGUUAGCCAAGUGUGCAAAGCAACUGUUUGUAACCAAUUCCUUGCUUUUGAGUAAACAUAAGCAUUUAUUGGUACUUCCUGAGUACCAACCCUCAUACUAGAUGCCUUAUGUACUUUGUUUCUAAUCCCCAGAACAAAUAUGUGAUAGAUGUUCUUAUUCACACAAACAGCAGAAGAAGCAGCAUCAAUAAGUACCUCCAUCAUUGGGAUUGGAAGCAGUAUAGCUCUUGGAAGUUGAACUAAUUCUUUAUUGUAUUUUCACUUAUAGAAUAAUUGAGGGAUUUAAUUUUCUAUUUUAAAUGUUAUAGCCUCAUAGUAAGGAUUUAUGUUUUAUUUUGGAAUCAUAUUUGCUUUACAAAAAAUAUAGAAAUAUUAAAAAACAACCACUUCACAAUUACUGGGAUGGCUGUAAUAAAAAAGACAGGGAAUAACAAGUAUUGGUGAGGAUGUGGAGAAACUGGAACCCUCAUACAUUGCUGGUAGGAAUGUAAAACGGUGCAGCUGCUCUGUAAAACCACAGUCUGGCAGUGUCUCAAAAGUUAAAUGUACAGUUACCAUAUGACCCAGAAAUUCCACUCCUAGGUAUAUACCCAAGAGAAAUAAAAACGUAUCCACACAAAAACUUGUGCAUAAAUGUUCAUGACAGCCUUAUUCACCAGAGCCGAAAAGUGGAAACAAGGCAAAUGGCCAUCACCUGAUAAAUGAACAAACAAUAUGUAAUAUAUUCAUGCAAUGUAAUAGUAUUUGGCAACAAAAAGAAAUGCUGUGCGAUGAACCUCAAAAACACUCUACGUGAAAAAAGCCAGUUACAGAAAAACACAAAUUGUAUAAUCCCAUUUAUAUGAAAUGUUCAGAAGAGGCAAAUCUACAGAGACAAAAAGUAGAUCGGUAGCUGCUCAGAGCUAAGGAAGGCGAAAGGAAUUUGGAAGGAGGUGGGUGUCAGAGGAAAAUCGUGCUACACAGUUGAACAGGCAAGGAAGACUUUUCUAAGACUUAAAAUAAGGGGAGAGAUCAAACUCAAGUCUGCUGAAACAAAAGGUCAGCAGGUUUGGAAGUGCUGGGUGAGCUAGUGGAAAAGUCCUGGAGGACAUAGAAGGGGAGGUUGGUCAGUGUAAUUAGGCCAACUGUGCUUGCUAAUUUGUACUUAGUGAAGUUAGGCUCCUACCCUUCCACAGAGACUAGGAGAUAGGGGCACCAGCUUACUUGAUUACAUUUGAAGGAAUGGCUCUAGGUCCUUGAGAAAGAGAUACUUGGGUUAUUAAACUGGCAAGAAGCUGGAAGAGGAUCUAUCUUCAUUUCAAAGGAGCAAAUAAUUUUCAAUUACAAGUUUUCUAAAGUAAAUGCUCUAAGAACAGGGAGGUCAGGGACCUAUAAUCAGGAAGGAACUUGUCUAUAGGCUAGUCAACCUGAGGGGAAUAAUAAUACUGUCUUUGCCAAUGGAUACAAAGUUUAUUUUUGAUAUGAUGAAAAUGUUCUAAAAUUAGAUCAAAUGAAUGUUGUAAAACUCUGUAAAUGUACUAAAAACCAUUACAUUGUACACCCUAAAUGGGUCAGCUUUGUGGUAUGUAAAUUAUAGCUCAAUAAAGCUGUGUUUAAAAGAUCAG
rnacentral:lncRNA from 1 species